rnacentral:rRNA from 1 species
AUUGAACGCUGGCGGCAGGCCUAACACAUGCAAGUCGAACGGUAACAGGAAGCAGCUUGCUGCUUCGCUGACGAGUGGCGGACGGGUGAGUAAUGUCUGGGAAACUGCCUGAUGGAGGGGGAUAACUACCGGAAACGGUAGCUAAUACCGCAUAACGUCGCAAGACCAAAGAGGGGGACCUUCGGGCCUCUUGCCAUCGGAUGUGCCCAGAUGGGAUUAGCUAGUAGGUGGGGUAACGGCUCACCUAGGCGACGAUCCCUAGCUGGUCUGAGGGGAUGUCCAGCCAAACUGGAACUGAGGCACGGUCCAGACUCCUACGGGAGGCAGCAGUGGGGAAUAUUGCACAAUGGGCGCAAGCCUGAUGCAGCCAUGCCGCGUGUAUGAAGAAGGCCUUCGGGUUGUAAAGUACUUUCAGCGGGGAGGAAGGCGACAGGGUUAAUAACCCUGUCGAUUGACGUUACCCGCAGAAGAAGCACCGGCUAACUCCGUGCCAGCCGCCGCCGUAA